GCCGUACGGGGUGACGGUACUCACAGAAGAAGGCCCGGCUAACUACGUGCCAGCAGCCGCGGUAAUACGUAGGGGCCGAGCGUUGUCCGGAAUUAUUGGGCGUAAAGCGCGUGUAGGCGGCUUGGUAGGUCUCGCGUUAAAGCCCGCAGCUCAACUGCGGAAUCGCGUGGGAAACCACCUCGCUAGAGUCCGGAAGAGGAGUGUGGAAUUCCUGGUGUAGCGGUGAAAUGCGCAGAUAUCAGGAAGAACACCAGUGGCGAAGGCGGCACUCUGGGACGGUACUGACGCUGAGACGCGAAAGCGUGGGGAGCGAACAGGAUUAGAUACCCUGGUAGUCCACGCCGUAAACGAUGGGCGCUAGGUGUGGGAGGUGUCGACUCCUUCCGUGCCGAAGCUAACGCAUUAAGCGCCCCGCCUGGGGAGUACGGCCGCAAGGCUAAAACUCAAAGGAAUUGACGGG
rnacentral:rRNA from 1 species